GCUUUUUAUUUUUGGAACUGAUACUUUUUGGCGGGUAAAUUACUUCACAAACCUGGCGCCAAAUUAAAAGUUAAAAAUAUUAAAGCUAUAGGUGAUUUCAUGUAUCCAUUUAGAAGAGCAGACUAAGCUGAAUAUCUUAAAACUGAAAUCGGUUUCGAAAUACAACCAUCAGGGACGUAGCGAAGCAUCUGAAGUUUGGGGAGGGGGGAAGUCGGAGGAUUUUACAAUAAACAGUUAUAAUAAAGCUUUUUGUGAUUGAUUGGCACUCUCAUAUUAAGUUUUGGGAGAAAAGGGGGGUCUGGGGGUUCUCCCCCAGAAAAUUUUUACAUUUUUAAAGCUCUGACUAGGACUGAAUUUCUGGCGUUUUCUAAAGCAAAUUCGCAUUGCAUGUAAAUUGACUGUAUUUUACAAAAAUGG